AUUGAACGCUGGCGGCAUGCCUUACACAUGCAAGUCGAACGGCAGCACGGGUGCUUGCACCUGGUGGCGAGUGGCGAACGGGUGAGUAAUACAUCGGAACAUGUCCUGUAGUGGGGGAUAGCCCGGCGAAAGCCGGAUUAAUACCGCAUACGAUCUACGGAUGAAAGCGGGGGACCUUCGGGCCUCGCGCUAUAGGGUUGGCCGAUGGCUGAUUAGCUAGUUGGUGGGGUAAAGGCCUACCAAGGCGACGAUCAGUAGCUGGUCUGAGAGGACGACCAGCCACACUGGGACUGAGACACGGCCCAGACUCCUACGGGAGGCAGCAGUGGGGAAUUUUGGACAAUGGGCGAAAGCCUGAUCCAGCAAUGCCGCGUGUGUGAAGAAGGCCUUCGGGUUGUAAAGCACUUUUGUCCGGAAAGAAAUCCUUGGCCCUAAUACGGUCGGGGGAUGACGGUACCGGAAGAAUAAACACCGGCUAACUACGU
rnacentral:rRNA from 1 species